GCCUAGGCAAAAAGAGAAAGUAAAAGCAACCGGUUGCUGCCAAGGGGUGUGGUGGGGUGGCGCUGGCACUACCCUGAACAUCAGUGAACUGGUCCUGCUUCCCCAUUGAGAGGCAGCAGGUCCCCAGCCAGGCGACCUGCCCUUCAGCGUGGGGCUGUCAGCCUUGGGGGAGCGGGGUCGUUUGGAACUGAUAAAACAAAGAGAAGAAAGGUUUGCUGCUCUAGACGGUGGGUGGCGGCAUCAUAGCUGACUCUUGGUCUUGGUCACUUUCAGAGGAGAUGGUUUACUUAACCUGACUGCCUUUCUGAUGCGCACCGUAGGCGCAGUGAAAUCCGGGAAUCGUUGGGAAUCCUUAGCACUGUGGGUGGAGGCUCCUCUUGGCCCUGUGGCCAAGGUGACCAAGGGGCGAAGGAAAAGCGAGAACGGGCGGGACAGGACGCAGAGGGCAGAUGGGGAACCCCAUACUCCAGCAACAUUUUAUAAGACAGACGACGGAGCAGGGCACCUAGUCAAAAAAGCCUCAGUGAGCCUACUCUACGGUGGACCGCGUCCCCUCUGCACCAGAAGGGCCCUGUCCUCCCACAUCCACCGCGCCCUCCUCCGAGCUCCCGAGGGCACUGGGGCGCCUACUCCGCCAGACCUCCCCUGCGGCUCACUCGUCCGGCUCCAGAGACCCCCAACAGCAAAGCAGCCGUGACCUGCGCCGGGGGCGCAGCCCUGCUCCUGGCUGGAAGGCGGCAGAGCUGCGGCGUCGAGGCACCCAGUGGACUGCGGGGCGGAGGCGCCCGCGGUUACCUGCGCGGCCAGAGGGUUCCGCGAGCUCGAAGCACCAGAGGAGUAGCAUGAGAAGCCCCGCCGGGCGGCGAGGGGUCGCCCAGUCUGUCCUCAUCCUGAGCAGGCGCAAGCUUUCCGGCCGGGUCCUCGGGCGCACGCGGCACCGGCCCCUCCUGCUGAGCUCGGCCUGCCCCGCCCGCUCCUAUAUCAGGCCUCUCGGGGCGCCCCGGCCCCGCCCCCGCCGACCCCGACCAAUCAGACGUGCGUCUCCUCGGCCCCGGGGCGUAGCGGGCCGGGUGUGGGAAAUGAACAGGGCGGGGCGCUAGAUACCUGCGUGGGGUGGGACCCGCGAGGAAGAGGGACGUGCGGGUCGGUGGGAAAGCCAGGCACCGCACAGGCUCCUGCACUGGACGGUUUGGUCCCCGCCUCUUCAUCAGCCAAGCUGGGGAGAUGCGGCCCUUACUGGGACUUGGCACCGCCCUGGUGGGUGGGUUCUGUCAGUUUAGAACCUUGGGCUCUGCCUAGCUCACUGUGGUCAGGUACGACUUCUCCAUUCCAGCCUGGACUGGAAAGAGACCCACGGUGUCUCUUGCCCCGGAGAAGGAAGUGAGCACCUGCCGCGUGGGUGACUGCGGCCAAACCUAAGAAUUCAGUCGUCCUUGGCAACGUCUUGGGUAUUUUGAUAGUGCAAAUGGUAUACUGGAGUUCUACCCAUAGUUGUUAAAGAAUUAAAAGCAAGAAUUACUAGAGUGACCAAACAACACUUCCAAGGAUGACUUACGCUUUAUAACAAUUUGAGCUUUGCGAGUAAGCUCUUUGCGUAAUAAUUUAAUGAUAAUAAUAAUUAGCUGGUAGAAAUGUAGAAGUCUGCACGCAGAACCAGAAAUUUCAUGUCCCACUCUCUUCCUGUGGACACUGCUAUCAUUAAAAAGAGACCAAAUUAUUAAUGACCUAAGUUGCUCAAAAGUGAAUGUUUUAUACUUUUAAAUCCGUCUUUGCUGAACACAUAAUGUGUACUUGAGGUGGCCUCUAUCCUUGUUGCAUGAGGACGCAGAGACCUAGUUGCUCUUCCUGACUUCCACUGCUGAGGCUUCACAGACGGCUCCCAAACCUGCCUUAGCUCUGUCCUCUCCCCAGGGUCUGGCCUUUCAGUUCCGUAGAUAUAGUGAGCACCUACCAUCCCAGGAUCUGGGCACUCCAUGGAACAGGAGGACAAAAAGACAUCUCUGCCCUCCCUUUAAUACUGGGGAGACUGGGGCACUGUGAUGGAUAAUAUUGUCAGCUUGAUUGGAAUGAAGGAAUGCAAAGUAUUGUUCCUGGGUGUGUCUGUGAGGGUGUUGCCAAGGAGAUUAACAGCGGUCUGGGAGAGGCAGACUGGCCCUCAAUCUGGGUGGGCACCAUCUAAUCGGCUGACAGCAUGGCUAGAAUAAAAGCAGGCAGAAGCUGGAAGCACUUGACUGGCUGAGUCUCCUGUCCUUCAUCUCCUCAUCUUCAUCUAGAUGCUUCCUACCCUUGAACAUCGGACUCCAGUGAACAAAAGCAAGUUGUGCACCGACCACCUUGGGCAUGUCAUCCGGCUCUUCUGAAGGCUGUGUCACAGAUGCGUCCUUAACCUUGGCGAAAUAAACUUUCUAAAUUGAUUGA